UUUGGCAGUACAUAUACUAAAAUAUACUAAAAUUGGAAUGAUGCAGAGAAGACAUCAUGGCCCCUAUGCAAGUCAACAUGCAAACUUGUGGAGCGCUUCAUAUUUAU